ACAGGGCUGGUGUGUGUCAUUCCUUUGGGUCUGGACGGAACAUGAUGCUGAUGGAUUAUCAGACUGGCAAGAUGAUGGUGCAGCAGUGUCUUGUUUGAAAAUGAGCUCUCUCUCCACAUCCAUGAGGGGCUGAAGUGACUGGUGGUCUUCCAUGUUCAUUGGACAUAUGCACAGGAAGAUCUUGCAGAGUUAAUAGAAACUUAAGGGGGAAGAUGACUUUUCAGCAGGCUUAUAAAGAGGUGAUCCAAGGCCUGAGAGGGAACAAUGUGCAGGGAACUGAAAUACAGUGAAACCCUCAUCAGUGCUCUUUGACCUAAGAUUAACCUUAGGUAACAUUCGGUUUUGAUGACGUGUCAGUAACCUCGUUGUUAAAUUACAUGCAUGCAAGAAUCCACUUCAUGGAAAAGAGACCUUGAAUGGGAGAUUCACUGUAUGCAGACCUGCAUCUGUAUGCCAUUGUAUCCAUCACCACUCACAGAAACAUGCCUCUCCAUAUGUCAGGGGAAGUCUGGAUGAGGAUUUCCAGCACUGGAAGAAGUGCAGCAGUUGCAUAAGGGGUUCAUCUGCCAGCGCUACAGACGGUGCGAUGGGUAAACUACCUCAUUGUUUUCUGCCACAAGAUACCGGUCUUGCAACUAGCCUUAGAAAUGUAUGUCUGAUAAAUAUAGAUUAAUAUCCCUGUAGGUAUCAUCAUUAUGAUGCUUGAAGUGUGAGUUGGUCUAAAUGAAUGACCUGUGUUUGAAUUAUAUGUAAGAAAUUUAAUUUAUUUUGUCCAGAAGAAAAAUUUGUACAGGAGGUGGGGUGGGGGGAGGCAGGUUUCAUUUAGAGGGCAAAGGAAAAAACCGAUUUCAGCCUAGUGCAAUAUGUCAGUAUUGAGGGCAGAAGUAUAUGCCAAUAACCCUGUUUGGGCAAAGUUUUCGGACAGCUUCAGACAAAAUGCGGCUUAAAGGACGUAUAUGUACACAUGUAACUUAACCUAGGUAACUCAUAACAGAAAGUACUUUAACUUAAUGUAACCUUCCUAAUCUAACUUCUAACAGAAACUAACAAAACUAACCUGAGCUAACAUGUCAAGAAACAUACAUGUACGUCCAUAGAACAGAAAGGGUCAAGGUGUGUAUAGUUACUGCCAUAAGCUUUAUGAAUUUAGCCUAUUGGUUUAUAUGAGGUUCACUCUGCACUAUACCUCACCAUCCAUAGGAGUAACAUAGUGAGCAUUUCUUUUGCUAGAGUCAAGGUCAGUAUAAUGUAAUAGAAGUGGUCCCAUUUUAGGAGAAGAGAUUGUAUAUAGACCUGACAUGUUGAAAAAGAUGUCUUGGCACCAAUUGUGUGGUUGUGUGGAUACUGAUAAGGACAUCUUAUGGUGAUUAUUACUGUGGUGAAGGAGGGGUUGUGUGCUUUGAUGUUGCGAUAUGUUAAGUGUAAUGCCAAAACUUGUACUUGACAUUGUAUUGCUUAUUUUGAUGUAUGUGCCGCUGGCUGGCUAUCAUUGUUUGAUAGGUCUUGCAAAGUGCUAUGUAUGUGGAUUCUAAUUUUGUUAUUGCUGUUUGGAAAAUAUUUCAACAUACCUGUAGACAGAAAUAUGUUUGUCGCCAAAUGACAUAAUGGGACAUGGCCAAAAUCAUUGUCAGUUUGUCAGUUAUGAAACGAAUGUCCCGCAUAUCAGAUAUUGAAUUGAUUUGUGUUAAGGCCAGGAGAAUUCACUGAUUGACUGUUGUUAUAACUACAUGAAUUUCUGUUCUACUUGCUGCCUCGGUGGCAGAGCAUAUGGAUUGUGUAUGUUACCAGUUUUCGUUAAUGUUGAUAGUAUCAUGUAAUAUUUAUUGUAAUGGUGUGAAUGCAGUUUCUGAAGACAUGAGCUAUCAGUGUAUUUUCCAUCAAGAUAUGUAUAUUUUUUUUAUAAUUGUGUAUUGCUAUGUCUCUGUUCUAUUUGAACACAAUUGUGAAUAUGAUCACCAGCAGUCCACAGAGUUGUGUGAGUGCUGAGGUAUUUGGAAAUGUGCAGUAAAUCAGAUAUCUGCAUAUUGUGGAUGGAAGGACAUCUCUACCACCAUCUUGACUUCAUCAUGUGAUGUGUGGAGGUGAUGGAGAUGGUGGAAGUCAUGGUGGAGGGGAUGAUGGUGGUGGUGGUGAUGAUGACCAGUGAAUGUUGACGUGUGGAAAGAUUUGCACAGUGAGGAUGUAGAUCACUGGACAGACUAUAUUGCACUCACAUAUCUGUAUACUGCGACAUUUUUACAGCCGUAAUUGAGGGAUGUCUAGAGGCAAUAGUAUGAAGAUGUAGUUGAAUUAAUCUGUUUGGUAAAAGAAAAGAAGUGUUACUUUUCAGCAUGCCAUCCUGUUGAAGGGCUGGUUAGUUUUCAGGAAUGUUGCCAUGUUGUGUGUGAGGUUCUUGAUCUGUGUGAAUGUUGAACUCGGGCCUUGAAGGCUUGUGUAGAAGCAUUCUGUUUGAAUGUAUUGAUGGCAAUGUAUUGUAUUGAAUUGUGACAUGUAUAAAGUGCUGGAUUAAUUUGUUUGUGCAGUGUUUGUAAGCAAUACAAGAGUCUUCUCUUUGAA